AUUCAGUUAAAGGGUCCGGAAUAGGACGAAACGUGCGUCCUGGAU
rnacentral:hammerhead_ribozyme from 1 species